rnacentral:rRNA from 1 species
CACACACCGCCCGUCAAGCCACGAAAGUGGGGGGCCGCCGAAGUCGCUGAGCGAACUUGCAAAAGACGCAGGCGCCGAAGCGGAACUCCGUGAUUGGGACU